CCUCCAGAGCUCAGUUUAGAGACCUCCAGAUAUUAAACGGACUUCCUACACUUAGAUUACUUGCUUAACAUCAAGUAUUAAUAUGAAUGGCUGGCAUCUGACUCUAAGCCUUGUAAGAAUAGGAACUGAGUCCAACCCAUUCGCUGCUGUGCCACCAGUUCCCAGCACAUGCCUGGCACAUAGUAGGUACCCAAUAAAUAUUUGUUAAAUGAAUGAAUAGUCCUCUCAGGAAACAGAUAUUUUAGGCCAUUUGAAUUUUUCUCUGAUGAUCUUGUAUUCCCCAGUUUUUUCUCCAAUGAUCAUGUAUUCUUUGUGCAGUUUUUAAAAGGAAGAAUUUUAUUUAUUUAUUUUUUCCAAAGUUGCCCCGGCUCCCCUGAAUCUUGUGCUGAGCCAGCCUUGGUUGCAUGCACUCAGCAGAAACGAGCUCUUUCCCUCCCCAGAGCAGGAGGUGGCGAGGUGAAGGUGCACUGUACUGGGGUGGCACUAAGACCCUUGCACAGCACUGCUGGCAGCCAGCAAUCUCUUAGAACUGGCAGAUGUGCUCAAUCAGAUUAGUUUCCUCCUCCCCUCCUCGCUUUUCAAACCUUUCAGAGCUCUGCUACCAGGCCCAAGAGGAUUAUCCUCCAAUGGAAGGCACCAGGGAUUACUGCGGAAUCUGAUUUCACCUGCUCCCUCUGCUUCCUGGGAACGCACACGGCAGGCCACAGCCAGGCAGUGCUGGGUCUGAAUCCUCAGGAGUUUGCCCUGGACCUACGAGCACUAAACUCGACAGGCUGCUUAUUUGCUUAUGUUGUAGGACCUUGUCCCACAUGAAGAUAAAAUGGUGCUGCAGAAUGGAAAGUGCUUCACAAGCCCCCGGCACACAGAAUGGGCUGUGCUUCGAGCUGGUCAUGCACUUGCUCGUGGCAGGAACCUUCUAGGUAGGUUCUUUACAAUCCUCAGAGGCUCAGAGAAAAAGCUGAUGGGAGAACUCAGCUUCUACACCCAGAAGCAGACUUCAGAGUUAACCUGGGCUUGGCCUGGCCAGCAGUUAAAAAGCAGCCAGAAAAGAUUUUAUGAGUUUCCUGAUGCUGCACGUGCCUGGCAGACAUUUCCUCCCUUCCUCCUGGGACUGUGAGUGGGGCUGGCCCCUUGUCCCCAGCGCUGCCACCACCAAGCACCGUUACUCAGCUGCUUCCUCCUUAUCGACAAACUGCACAGGCAACAGAUGCCUAGAAGACUUCAGGCGAGUCCCCUGGGAGAGGCUGGGAACAGAAUUCUGAGUCCUUCCAAGCCAGACAAUAGCCAUGGAAUCUCUGACUUCUCUGAUGCACUUUUGAUUUCGAAAAUUUUCAAAUCAGAGAAAAGAUGAAAGACAACAAUGAACACAUAGGACCCUUCACCAGAUUCUGCCCUUGCUGACCCUGAUCCAUGUGUGCUCUGUCUAGGUGUAUUCUGUCUGUAAAUACUGGUUUUGUUAGACCAUUUCUAGUCAAGUUGCAGACGUGACAUGCCACCCCGAACACUUCAGCAUCCGUUCCUGAGGUCAUUUUCCUACAAAUUGUAAUGUUAUUAGCAUUUCUAAGACAUGAACAUUAAUGCAAUCACAUUUUCUAAUAUUCAGUCCACAUCUGACUUUCUCCAGGGGUCCUAAAAAUGCCUUUUAUAACCUUUGUUUUGUGUUUUUGGAUCCAGAAUCCAAACUAGGUUCACACAUGGAGUCUAUUACCGCUGAAGUCCCCUUGUUUCGUUUGCUUUUCAUGACACUGACUCUGGGAGAAUCUAGGCCAGUUGUCUUGUAAAAUGCUCCACAUUCUGGAUCUGCCUGAUUGUUUCCUCACAAUUAGAUGCAGGUCAAACAGUACAGGCAAGCAAAUGACAGAAGCUGUUCUGUCCUUCUCACCCACUGGACCAUAGCAGGAGUCCUAGGAAACGUCACUUUGUCCUGGCUUAUGUUAGAUCACUUGAUUAAGGUGGUGACACGAGACUGCUCCAGUUCAAGUUAUUGAAGGCAAGAAAGGUGCUUCCUACUCUUGGCAAAAAAAGGCACUGCUCAUACGCCCAGCAGACAAGCGUCUUUCUGAGGAACCAGGGGAGACAGAUUUUGAGCAAUUGAUGGAGAGGGUGUGAAACUACUCUGAGGGCACCAUGCUCUGGCAGGCUGUUUUUACUGUGUAAGGCAGUGCAGCGGGCAGUGCCCACACUCUGAUGAUGACUGUCCUGGAUUCUACGGAGUGGCAGCCGCUUACUAGCCAUGUGGUCUGGGGUAAGUCACAACUUCUUGGACCUGUGUUUCCUCAUCUGUGAAAUGGGAAGAAGACAAGUAGAUAGAAUUGUGGUGAGGGUGACAUGAUGGCUUAGUGUGCUUAGAACAGCACCCUUUGUAAACUUGUGCUCAAUUCAGAGCCAGCCCUGUAAUGACAGUCACAGCUACAAUGACAGUGGUUUGGUUUCUGGAUGAGAUUUGGUGUAGGGGAGAGAGAAAGCCAGGGACAAAGCAAGAAAACCCUUCAUCUGUAAGAGGGUGCUUCAGUGGUGCUCAAGGAAGGGAGAAAGCUGAGAGGACCACAGGGGUUGGAGGCCAGGUAGCCUCCCCUUAAGUCCCCUUAAGGACCUGCUGUAGCUGCAUCCAAGAUCUCUGGCCCAUUUCUGAUCCUGUAGUUAGGAAACAUCCUGGAGAAACAGGCCUCCAACACCAGCCAUUCCUGGGCUUCCAAAGUCCGCUGGGUAGACCUGGUGUGAAGGUGGAUCUGGGUACCCUGCCUGGCUGAGCUUCCUUUCUCCCUCAGGAAAUCAAGAAAAAGCUCUCUUCUUCUCCUUCCUCUCUCAAGAGCAGGGCUGCAUCUCCAGUCUCUGGCACAGAGGCCUUGAUAAAUAAUCAACGAAUGGAUGGAAGGACGGAUGGAUGAAAGAAUGAAAGCAAGCCCAUUUCUGACAGGCUGAAUCAAUUCCUGAGCCCAGUUUUAAAAAGAGACCAGAGGAACAAAUAUUACUCUCCUGCUGAUAAAAACACUUUAAACUCCUCAGAAGGCAAGACUCUGCUGCUGGGAAUCUAGAAGCCAGAGCUAGCAGAAUAACUGCCAGAGAACAUUCCAGAACGUAGGUCUGCUCCAGUCCAAGAAUAUCUCGGCAUGAACCUGUUUUACAAGUACCUACAAGUCGGGAGGCAUCAGACUUUCCUAGAAAAGUCCCAGAAACCUCACUAUGUCGGUGACAAAGAGAGACUUUUCCUGUCUAGACACCACAAUGCUUGUAAUUAAAAUUAAGAUUUAGGAGGUGGAGGGAGGCAACA
rnacentral:lncRNA from 1 species